CCAAAACAGAGAAUCUUCUUCUUUGUCAGAAGGUUUACCUUUCAUGAAAGAGCACGGAAGAAGAAAGGAAUGACAGUAAGACUGAAUUAUGAACUCUCAGAAGUUGAGAACAAGAACUGAUUGUAUUGUGAAAGCUAAAUUCCCUGCUCUUGAUUAACACUGGGCCACAGCAGUCAGUGGUGAUCGCACGCUGGCGAUUGCUGAAGCAGAUGUAGUGUGCACAUUGCUAGUGCAGGUUAGAAGAGA